rnacentral:rRNA from 2 species
GUCGAAGGUGGGACAAAUGAUUGGGGUGAAGUCGUAACAAGGUAGCCGUAUCGGAAGGUGCGGCUGGAUCACCUCCUUU